rfam:Triticum aestivum genome assembly, contig: Triticum_aestivum_CS42_TGACv1_scaffold_514908_6BS
CUGGUACUUCCUCCGUCCGGAAAUAAUCGUCGGAAGAAUGAAUGUACCUAGACGUAUUUUUGUUCUAGAUACAUCCAUUUUUAUAUAUUUCUCCGACAAGUAUUUCCGAACGGAGGGAGUAGAAU